GACGAGCCACCCGAACGUUAUUCGGAAUUACUGGGCUUAAAGGGUGCGUAGGCGGUGCAGCAAGUCGGGAGUGAAAUACCUCAGCUUAACUGAGGAACUGCUUUCGAUACUGCUGUGCUUGAGUAAGACAGAGGUAAGCGGAACUUAGGGUGGAGCGGUGAAAUGCGUUGAUAUCCUAAGGAACACCGGUGGCGAAGGCGGCUUACUGGGGGUCUUCUGACGCUGAGGAACGAAAGCCAGGGGAGCGAACGGG
rnacentral:rRNA from 1 species